ACCCAAGCCAAGGCAUGCCUGAGGCUACCAGGACCUAGAGGACAGCCGGCUCUCCUUUUCUAAGGAAUUGCCAGGCAAUGCUGAUGCUGCUGGUCUGCAAUGGUUUGAGAACCACUAUCUUAGGACAUUCCAGCCAUGAGGUGGUUUAACUCAGUAUAAACACCAUAUGUUUAGGACCUUCCUUGGAAGGGUCAGAAAAAUUCAGCCAGAGCUGAGAUGCAGAAGGCUUAGCUGAGGAAUGGGUAUGUCCCUUCAAUACCCUGCUGGAGAAAGAGCACCAUUCAGAGAGUCAGAAGCCCUGAAGUCCAGUCCUAGUUCUGGACACACACUCAAAGUGCCGAGCCUCAGUGUCUUCAUCUGCAAAAUGGACAUGCACAUCAACCACUCAGUAUUCCUCCCAGGGAUGUCAUGAGGGUCAAACAGAAGAACGAGGAGUGCCAAGAGCUCUGCCACUCUUGAUGCUGUCCAUCCAGCAGCUCCAACAUCCACCUUGGACCACAUCAGGGAAGAGUGGGCUAAGGAGGGAGAAGCAACAAGCCAGAAGGAGCCUGAACCCCUGACACAUGGACUGUCAUUGCAGCCCUGCUGCCCUCCAACAGACCCCUUUCAAUGGCAGGAGAAUAAGCUUUUAUCUUGGAGUGUGUGUGUCAUCCAUCUGAGUUGUAUAAGCCCAGCUCUAGGUGUGGUCCCAGUCCCCAACCCCCUCAUUUCAUCAUAGAAGAGUUUGCCUUCACCUUCCACCUAGCAAAUGUUUCAGAUCACUGAGACUUUGAGAGCUCUCUCAACAACUGGUAUUGGACAUGGCAGAAAACCCAGGGGGCCAAUAUGCUGAGCAAACUCACAUCCACAUAGAAACUUCCGAUACCCUGGUAGAGCUUCACUCAGAAGCUGCCAAGAGCUGACGAACAAUGAUGUGAGACCACAAGGCUGAGCCUGGGGCAACGUCACUGCUCCCAUUUCAUCCAACACAGGGAUUCUCAGUCUCAGCACUGCUGACAUUUGGGGCCAGAUGACUCCUUGCUGUGGGGCUGUCCUGUGCAUUAUAGGAGGUUAGCAGGACCCCUGGCCUGUACUUGCUGGAUGCCUGUAGCAACCCCCCACUUCAAUCAAAUAUGUCUCCAGACAUUGCCAGACAUCCCCUGGGAGCAAAACUGCCCUAGGCUAAGACCUGCUGCUCUGGAGAAGCAGCUCUCCCACAGCUGCACAGUGAAAUCUCCGGGGAGUGCUAACAAAUACACACUAAUGCCCGGAUCUCCCCCAUGACGCUGACUCAACUGGUCCAGGGUGCAGCCUGGGCACAGGGAUUUGUAGAAGCUCCCCAGGAGAUGAGAUUCUAAGAGGCAGCCAGGGGAGAGAACCACAAUCUGACUCUUACUGGGAUGCCAGGUGUUAUGGUGAUGGGAAAGUAGGCAGAACUGGGGGGCUGUGGUGUGCUGCACUGGAGAAGAAGGUUGAUUCAGCCAGCCUAGUGAUAACAACACAGCUGCUCAAAGGUGCCCCUCAGAGCCAGGACAGGCAUAGGCUCUAAUUGGCCCCCAGGCUGUCAGCCUACACAGAACAUAAAAUGUGCUAAGAUUCUCUACAACCACUGGGCUCUGUUAACCCAGGUCCCAGAUGAACCAGAGUUAACCUAACAGGUCAGAGGUUCUGGUUAAAGUAACCGACUUGGCCCUGCUAAGCCCAUGUCUUCACCUUUGAAACAAGAGCUUUAUUUAGAUGACAUCUCAGGCUUUUUCGGGGUUCUCUCUCUGAAGCUCUCUGUAAAAUGACAAGUCGCUAAAAAUGAGCCCAAUGUGGUCCAUUCUUCAGCAGCCAGAAGCCCUCCCUGUUUGGUCUCUGCAAGGCCUCAUCUAAGUGAGACUGGUACGGAAGACAGUGAUCCUGCCCAGAGCUGACCAGGAGCCAGCAUUAGGCCACCAUCUGCCCAGUUCGUGGACUAGAAGUCCCAGAGUUCUCAGGCACCUGGAGGGCUAAUUGUGGGCUGGAGGCAAACAGAGAAAGGGCUGGAGUCAAUGGGUUGUGCCCUGGCCCUCUUCUCAUGGAAUCACAGCAUCUCAGAGCCCGACAGAUGACCCAGUCCAGGCUGUAAAUGCAGGAGCACCAGAUGCAAGGCGAGCCACUUGCAUCCAUACCACCUGGGAGCUUACAAAGAGAUUCUGAUGCUAUGGGCCUGGAAUGGUGCCUGGGAAUCUGAUUUUUCAAACCCUCAGGUAGUUCUGAUGCAAGACACUGAUGCACCCUUCCCAAAGAGGAAAUUUCCUGGCCUCAACACACCCAGGGUGUCAGCAGCACCUCCCGGCCUGCUCAGACCUCUGUACUGUGCAGCAUCUCAUCUUAUUUUCCUUGCACAUAAAAACCUUCUCCAUUAAUAAAGAGUAUAUAUAGCCUUUACUUGA